UACGUAGGGUGCAAGCGUUAAUCGGAAUUACUGGGCGUAAAGCGUGCGCAGGCGGUUUUGUAAGUCUGUCGUGAAAUCCCCGGGCUUAACCUGGGAAUGGCGAUGGAGACUGCAAGGCUAGAGUUUGGCAGAGGGAUGCGGAAUUCCAGGUGUAGCGGUGAAAUGCGUAGAGAUGUGGAGGAACACCGAUGGCGAAGGCAGCCCCCUGGGUUAACACUGACGCUCAGGCACGAAAGCGUGGGGAGCAAACAGG
rnacentral:rRNA from 1 species